rnacentral:rRNA from 1 species
UACGUAGGGUGCGAGCGUUGUCCGGAAUUACUGGGCGUAAAGAGCUCGUAGGUGGUUUGUCGCGUCUGCUGUGAAAACUCGGGGCUUAACUCCGGGCCUGCAGUGGGUACGGGCAGACUAGAGUGCGGUAGGGGAGACUGGAAUUCCCGGUGUAGCGGUGAAAUGCGCAGAUAUCGGGAGGAACACCGGUGGCGAAGGCGGUUCUCUGGGCCUUACCUGACGCUGAGGAGCGAAAGCGUGGGGAGCGAACAGG